UGGGGAAUAUUGCACAAUGGGCGCAAGCCUGAUGCAGCCAUGCCGCGUGUGUGAAGAAGGCCUUCGGGUUGUAAAGCACUUUCAGCGGGGAGGAAGGCGAUAAGGUUAAUAACCUUGUCGAUUGACGUUACCCGCAGAAGAAGCACCGGCUAACUCCGGGCCAGCAUCCGCGGUAAUAAGGAGGGUGCAAGCGUUAAUCGGAAUUACUGGGCGUAAAGCGCACGCAGUCGGUCUGUCAAGUCGGAUGUGAAAUCCUCGAGCUUAACCUGGGAACUGCAUUCGAAACUGGCAAGCUUGAGUCUCGUAGAGGGGGGUAGAAUUCCAGGUGUAGCGGUGGAAUGCGUAGAGAUCUGGAGGAAUACCGGUGGCGAAGGCGGCCCCCUGGACGAAGACUGACGCUCAGGUGCUAAAGCGUGGGGAGCAAACAGG
rnacentral:rRNA from 1 species